GAGACUACUCUUUGAAUCAGUUUAAUAGUUGAUUGCUCGAUCAAUUUAGUAGUGAAAAGCUCAUACAGCUGCAUGAAUAAACAAUUUAUAUAAUAUUUUUAGACAACCACAUUUCGCAACAAUACUAUAAUUAAUAACGCUAAUAGAAGAUACAUUUGUAUUUAUUUCCUAUGUAGUUAGUAAGAAUAAAAUGAUUUUGAGACAAAAAACAGUCAUUGCUUAAUAACGAAUUAUAUUAAAAUAAAGAUGAUAUAUAAGAUAACGAAAAUUACGAUUACCAUUUGAAAAUAUAAUGGUAGUGAGUAGAUAAUUAGAGCGGAGCAAAACAAAAACUGAUGCCUAGAGUUCCGAUUAGGACGUUGAUUCGUCAAAAACUGAAAUAAACGAUUUGAAAAAAGAAAAUGAUUUUUCGCGAGAUCAAGAUUUAUCGGAGACAUGGUAAAGUGUCUUACGAACUUCUCCAGCAAACUGAAAGUAAUACUACUAUCUAGGUGCACUUAAUUAAUUCAAAUUGCUACAUUUUACAAAUGAAGUAAAAUUGACAUAAGCAGUGUAAUAAUAGAAGUGUUAUAAAUUAAUCAAUAUAAUUACUAGUGAGAAUUUUUUCCUAUCUUGUAGCUAUUCUAUGUAAAAUUGUUUCUAUCGAGACAUACUUGCUUGCAUGUAUUGAAACAUAUGGUGAUUCGCAUAAUUAAACAGGGGGAAAAAAUACUUUCUACUUUCAAUACCUGUGGACAUGCGCAGAAGGGUUGCUUGAUUGCAGUCCGUGUCAGUUGGACUUCGACUGCCGUGCAGGACACUAGCUUUAAAAAAGAGAAUCAUUUCCUACAACAGUUAUUAUAGUACGCUUGAUUUUUACGCAAAAACCAUUCCUACAAAUGUUUUCUACUUUCGUAAAGGUUUUUAUUAAGAAUAUAACAACAAGAAUUAAUAUAUUGAGUCUUACCUUAAUAAAUAUUCUAAAUAGAAAGUAUAAUAGAAACAGAUACUUAUUAAUCUGUAAAGCGAAUGUACCUAUCAACACAUUAAUAUACUUAGAUGUGUCAUUUAUUUCUAAUAUAAUCUUGAAUUAUGGUACACUUUUAUAUACCAUUGCAAAAGAAAGUGCUUUCCGCAUAAGCUAAAAAGAAUUGAAAUUAUCAUGAAAGCAGUCAAUGCUAUAUCAAUAAUAAUUUAAUACUUACCCCUGCAAAAACUUGGUGCGAAGAGACAAACAUACUUCCGAUUGAUAAAAAGCACGGUUUUCCACUUCUAGUUAUUAUAAAUAGUAGCAAUUUUUGUGUAUUUAUGGAUAAUGUAUAAAAUGGAACGUCACACCUAUAUAAACAAAUAUUAUAUUGUCAUCCUUAUACAAGCUUGCUUUUUUAAAUGAUAGAAGAAAAAGCAAUUGGAAAAAAAUAUUUUAAAGAUCUAUAACAAAAAUUAUUUUACUUCCUAUUACUGACCAAUAAAUUUUAGAAGAUUACAAAAUAAACAAAUUUAAUAUGUCCUUACAAUUCUUCAAGAACUGAAACGCUAUGAUCCAACAACCUUUGUCCAAGGUAAAAAUUGAUAUAUACAGUAAAAGCUGCAGCAGUUACAUAAAGGAUGCAUUCUAUUUUGUAUUCUAGAGUUUUUAAUAAUACCGAAAAUUGAAGAAUCUAUAAGAAAAGAUAAAAGCAUAUUUUUAUAGUAAAAAGACUUUCUUUGAUAUUGUUAAACUUGUUUCAAACACAAAACACAUAAUUCUAUAAUAACACAUCUUUAUUGAAACAAAAUCGUAAUUCUUUAAAGUGCAGACAUCGUGCAAACCUAUGUUUUUAAAGUGUUUCAUAAAAAACAUUUAUAACAGCACAAUUAAUAAAACAUAGCAGUCCCUACGUAAACGA
rnacentral:lncRNA from 1 species